GAAAUGCGAUAAGUAAUGCGAAUUGCAGAAUUUCCGUGAGUCAUCGAAUCUUUGAACGCACAUUGCGCCCAUUGGUAUUCCGAUGGGCAUGCCUGUUCGAGCGUCAUUAUCCUCCCUCAAACCUCGGGUUUGGUGUUGGGCCGCGCUGGUGCUUCGUAACCAGCUGGCCUCAAAGACAGUGACGGCGUCCGUGGGACCCUCGGUGCAACGAGCUUUUCAGGAGCACGCGUCGAGUUUCAAGGACCUUUCGGGCCCGGUCUCCCUCCUCACUUCCACAAGGUUGACCUCGGAUCAGGUAGGAAUACCCGCUGAACUUAA
rnacentral:misc_RNA from 1 species